UGGAUGUUCUAAAAACAAUUCUUGAGGUCUUUCAGACCCUUAGAGAGUUAUUUCUUUCAAGCAGUUGGGAUCCCCACACCAUAACCAUAUAUAUAGCAUUGUUUGAGAUUGACAAAUAAAACGAAUUGAACAUGAACAUGAACAUUAUUUUGACAUUUGGUCUGAUCCAACCAGGUGAGCGAUACAGGCCCCAUGGGCCUCUUGUUAAAUCAUUUACUGUCAACUAUCAUCAUACAAAGAAUCCUUAUACAUUUACAUGUAUACUAUACCAGAAUUUCAUUUGUGUACAUGUAUCAAACGUAAUACAAAAAGAAUAUUUCAUGAUUUAAAAGUUAGAUAAGAUAAUUGUAGGUAUUGAUUUGUUUGAUAACAAUGUUAUAAAUGUUUUAUGGUUUUAGAAAUAAUGAAAAUCCCAUUCAGGCAAAAUUUUGUUUUGAAAUAUUGAUCUCGCAAGUUUACCUAUAGUAUUGUUAAAAUAAUUACACAUGUAGCUUUUUAAUGCCACUCAAAUUAAGUCCCUUAUCUCGCAUUUUGAAGAUGUAAAUGUUCCUUGCUUAAGACAUAUAUGUGCAUGUACUUGCAUAAUGUUGGUAUUCAAACAAAAUCAAAAGAGGAGAGAAAUCUUGGAUUCUAAACAUGUAAGUAUGUACCCUAGAAAGAAUGAGUGCUUUUGUAAUUUGCUUGCUUGUUUUAAAUUGAACAUAAAUGAUUACAAUGUAUUUUUAAUAAUCAUAUCAAAGUAAUUAAGUUAUGAUGUAUGAUUUAAAUACAUAUUUAGGCUUUUGCCUUGAAAUUUAAGAUGAACUUUUUCUUCAAUAUUCAAAAAAAGAAGAGAGGAAAAAUGAACAGUGUACAUUUUAAAAAUGUGUAUUGAAUCUGCUUGUUUUUUUUUUUUAAUUAAUUUUGAUAUUUUAGAAAAGAAUUAAGGUUUUAAAUAAAAUAAAAAAUUUAAAAUCUGUUUUAGCUUUUACCUGUAAAUAAAAAGAAUUAAAUGUUAAGUGUUACGUUACGCCACAACGAAGUUCAUUGUUUUGUUAUUCUGUUGUUUACUGUAUAAUUAUGAAGAGUUUUUGCAUCAUUCCAUUUUUUUCUGUUUAACUUGUUAAUGCUAUAUACUUUAAGCCCGUCUGUAAAGAAUAUUUUAUAUACAUUUUUUAUCUUUGCCUAAUUUUAAAAAAGCAAUAAAGCCAUAUUGUGUGAGUGAUUAUUUCAGCUGAUGUAUUUUAUCUAUUGCAAAAAAAAAAAAAAGUAUUGAAGUAUAAAAUUGCUUGUCAUAUUGUUAAGACACUUGUACAAGUUAAUUUUAUUUUUUUAAAAUGUUAAUUAAGAUUAUUUUCAAAAGCCAGUGACAUGUGCAUUAUUGUGACUUUCUACAAUACCAAAUGUAUCGGUAUAUGUAGAUAUAUAGCUAUACUAUGGGGUAUAUAUACUAUACAUAGUAUAUACUGUACAAAGCUAUUAAAGCAUAAACAUUUAUAUUAUUGUAUGAUUAAAAAAAUAUUCCUUAUUAAAACCAGGCACAUGUGAGCUUUACUGCAAUACAGCAUUUAUCAUUAAGAGGCAAUACAUCACUUUGUAAAUGUAAUUGAAAUCUUGAAAUUAAUGCAGUCAAACUUUGUCAAUUAAAGUCACUCAUUAGAGUAGGAUGCUUAGACUUCUGUUGGUACUCUCAGCUUUUUUGUAAGUGUUAUAAUAUAUUGGUAGUAUUCUUCAAAUUAUCUAAAUGUUCAUAUUCUCUCAACCAUAGAUGUAUUGAAAUAAUCUUAUAAAUACAUGAUAUGCAAUUAUUAUAGCUUUCUUAUACAGUUUUUGGCAGGUUGAAUGAAAAUCUAUUCUACAAUUUGUCAAAAUCUUAAUGUUCCAUCUAAAAUAGAUGAGAUAAUCUUAUUAUUAUGUCGUACGCAAUAGCUUUCUUAUACAACAUUCAGCACAUUGAAUAUUAAUGAAAAUGAUCCAAAUAUGUUUUGCAAUUAUUAAAGGCAAUAUAAUUAUGAAAAUGAAAGUAAUCCAGAGAGGUUUUCAUAAACAAGAUGAUAUAUGAUAAAGAAAACAUCAUAAUUAUAGGUAUAAGUUCUUGUUGGUAGAUAGCUGUUUUUUAAGAUCUAUACAUUAUGCUAAAGAGUUUUCCAUGUUUCAAAUUUCUGGAAAGUAAAUCUACAUUUCCUGAUUUUGUAGCAACUCUAGAUCUGAAGGAUCAGUGUAAACUUUUAAUAAUUUAUUGCAAACAUCCUGAUCUGUAUAAAAGGUCUCACGAUCUGGUUAUUGCGCUGACCAUUUCAUUUUAGAAACAGUAACCUAUGGGUAUUGUGUGUGACUGUAUCAUUAACAUCUUUGAAGAACAUUUCUAUUUUAAUUAUCAGAUUGAUGUAUUACUCCUGUAAUUGAUUGGUGCAUUUGACGUUUGAUAAAAAUGUUUGAUAGAUUGUAUCUGGAAAUGUAUUUGAAAUUUAGGCAAUAUUUUCAGGGGUUUGGGGUAGGUGGAUUGGGUGUGGGGGUGAUCACAGUAGUGGAGGUAGGGUAUGCAAUAAUGACAGACCCACAAAAAUCAUUAGAACUUUGAUUAUUCCUUUGUCAAUUGUAUGUAGAUAAAAAUUAAUUAAGGAAAAUUUGAAUCAUAGUAAACUUACUGUUUUAUGUUAUUAUUAAAAUUUGAUAAUAUUAAUAAAAUAUUCUGAAGGAAAAUGGAUGGAGAAGAAAGGAUCCAUUUUGUUCCCCCCACCCCCCUAUUUUUUUUUAAUCUUUUGCUAGUUUUUGUCUCACUUCCCUUUGAGAAGCUAUUCUAUGAAAUAUUGCAUUUGUUAUUCAAUGAUACAUUCAAAUAACAUAUCAGCUUGACCAAUGCAUUUGUCAUUUUAUGAAUUCCAAAUCAAGUGGGCCCAAAGAUUUGAUUUGCUGUGAUGUAAUAUGGUCUCAUGUACUUCAUUUUCAAGAUAAUACAUGUUUAAUUGAUGUCUCAACAUAUAUAUAUUGUUAUAUAUAAUAAUGGUAUUACUAUGUAUGUAUAAUAAUCCUUUUUUUUUUUUUCAUCAGAUUUUCUAAAGAUUCCAUGUUAAACGUGAACCCUCCAUGAUGAUAACCGUAAUUUUUAGUUUUAUACACUGCAUUAUCACUUUGCCACCUUAAAAUGGUUAGAAAAUUAUUAUCCUUGGUGAUGUGCAGUAUUGGGCUAUUUAAACUACCUGCAGUCGUCUUUCUCAGAUUUUUUUGGAGCAUACAUGUACACCCAGAGCUACCAUUUCGGCCAACCACUUGUUCACAAAAUUUCGACAGCUGCACACAUUUGCAGAGUUGUUGAAUGGAAUAGUACAGUACAUGUAAUUUCAAGUGAAGUACCUUGUCCAAAAAUACAGCACAUUGCUUGUGUGGAGACUCAAACUAGUUGUUCUUAAUCACCACCAUGCCUCCUAUUAUUUAAGGUCUUGGGAGCAAAUUUAAGGCUUGUUGUAAUGUUUGAUGCUUAGAAGAUGUAUGUUGUGUUAAUAAGUAAAAUCAGAAAACCUUGACAGACUGUACAAGAAGAUUUCUUGUAUUUUUAAAAACAGCAUUUUACCCUUUAUCUUCAUUGUAACUUGUUAUUAUUGAAAAUUAACUACAUGUUUAUGUUAUAGUAGAAGUUUAAAUGUUUAGAAGUAGAUGGUCUGUUUAUUUACAUAAACAAACUGGUAUCUCAAUUUUUGAAAUGUAUCAUUUGAGGCAUAAAUCUAGAUGGACCUGCUGUAGUUAAUACAGGUCUUAAAGUCUUUGUCAAGGCUUGUUUGAAAGCAUUAUAAAAUCAUUAGGUCCGUCCUUAUUUCAUAAACGGAAAACUCUGUUCCAACCAUUUCAGGUGAUCAGGUUGUAUACAAUGGUAACAUGCUUGCCUUUCACCUGCCUGGCCAUGUGGGGUUUCUCGGGGUACUCUGGGUUUCCUACCGCAGUGAGACCCCUUCUGCUCUUCAAUCCAGGCCAACAAGAGUGAUAAAUAUGUUUUAUUAUGUUAUGGUAGAAAUUUAAAAGUUUAGAAGUACGUUUGUUCAUUUACAUGGACAAACUGGUAUCUCAAAUUUUGAUUUUUUUUUUCAAUCCGGGCCAACAAGAAUAAUUAAUAUAUAUAAGUUGAUAUUUACUUGUUUUGAAAUUGUUGUUAAAUAACUAAAGUUUACAAACCAUUUGGACUUGGACCACAAUAAUAAGAAAAAAAACAGCCCUGUGCUCUGAUGGAACUUAGUGGCUGAAUUUGAUUUGAACUCUGGUGGAAGUUCGCCUUAUUGCUGUGGUUCACGACAUCAAAACAAGGUUUGUAACUCUCUUGAUCAUGCCUACCUCAUCAAUUCGAGACAUUCCUUCACCUUUCAUAUCACAGAUGACAUGUAUUUUGUGUGAAUGGUAUACCCCCUCCCUGUAUUUAGCAUUACUGACCAGUCGGACAGGGCAGUUAUCAAGUUUAGAUGUCGCUUAUGUUCUGGCCCUGGUUUAAACAACAUUUCAUAACUCAGAAAAACAUUAUAGAACUUAAGGAAAAUUAUUUUGAUUAACAAUGAUUUUUUCCUUUAAUUCAAUAACGGCUUCUAAAGGAAAAAUUAUAGUAUAAGAAUUUCCUGAAUUUGAAAAUGUUGAUCAAACUUGGGCCUGACUGCAUUUGUUGUGGUGCUUACAAGAUGUUACUUUAUCAUGGUGCUUCUAAGAUAUCCAUUUUAUCUUUACAUAUUUAGGUUUUAAUAUAGUUAACCAAGACGUGCAUGACUGUCAUGUUUCUGUAACCUACUGCAUUAGGUUUCAUUGAUACAUUUUUCAGUAUACAAAUUUCAUUUAGCUGCAGAUGAUUAAAUGUAAACUUGUAGGUAUCUUAUGUUUUUGGUGUCAUUGUUAUUACAUUUUUAAUGGUUCAUAACACUGAAAAGGUCAUUAGGUCUAUAAAUAGUAGAGGUCAUAAGGACUAUAAAAAGUAAAGGUCAUUAGGGCUAUAUAUAGUAAAGUUCAUUAGGGCUAUGGAAAGUAAAGGUCAUUAGGGCUAUAAAUAGUUAAGGUCAUUAGGGCUAUGAAUAGUAAAGGUCAUUAGGGCUAUAAAUAGUAAAGGUCAUUAGGGUUAUAAAUAGUAAAGGUCAUUAGGGCUAUGGAAAGUAAAGGUCAUUAGGGCUAUAAAUAGUUAAGGUCAUUAGGGCUAUGAAUAGUAAAGGUCAUUAGGGCUAUAAAUAGUAAAGGGCAUUAGGGCUAUAAAUAGUAAAGGUCAUUAGGGCUAUAUAUAUAUAGUAAAGGUCAUUAGGGCUAUGGAAAGUAAAGGUUAUUAGGGUUAUGAAGGGUAAAGGUCAUUAGGGCUAUGAAUAGUAUGUAAAUAAUGGAUAUUAAAUUGAUCAACAUCAAACAAUUAAAAUAUUUUUAAAAUAUCUCGGUCCACUUGGAGUAUUUAUAUCCAAACAUAGUUUAAAUAGUACAGACCCACAGCUUUUAGAUAGUUCAAAAUUUUGAAAAAUCAGUAUUUAAAAUACAAGUCCCCUUAGCUUCUUAAGUGUCUAGAGGACAAUCACAGAGGUAACUUAGAACAUUCGUGUACAGAAACGUGUUUUGGAAUGGAUAUUAUUGUCUGGUUGUAUUAGUACUGUAGAAAAUGCAGAGAGACAGAAUGAGGGUGGGACAAAAAUGAUUUGAAAUACACAAAUAUUAAAUUAUGACUGAAUAAAAUACAUAUAUUUUUCAGAAUUAUUGUAAAGAUAUACUCAUGAUUUAACAUGAGUCUCCAUUUCAUUUAAGUUUUAUGAUAAAAGUUUCAUGAAUAACCAAUAAAAUUAAUUUAAGAUCUUUUGAUCACACAUUUAAAUUUUUUUUCUUCAAUUAUUGCAGAAAGCAUUAAUUUCUGUCAUUCCUGAAGUCAUCUUAGCUCUAUAACUGUUGUCACUGUUGUGGGGUAAUAAAAUCUUUAAAUAUUGGACUUAAUCUUCAUCAUUCUAUGACAUCCUGUCAUAUUACAGGAAUUUUUUCUGACUUGCACUGCAGUCUUCUUAGAAAUAAAUUUUAAAUCAUAGAACCCUACCUGUAUUUCUGAUAUAAUUCGACAAACAUACAGCAUGAAAGCUUUGCUAUUUCAUACAAUGUAGAACCUAUAUUAUGUAUCACAGAGUUUAAUCCUGAUGAAAAAAAUAACUUUGACUUGUAGAAUGUUUUUCCCUUAUUGAAUAAUGCUCCUAGCUCCUGAAACUAAAAUUUAUUUGGCUUCCUUUCUUCUCAGUGGCCGUCAACUAGAAAUUUCAUUAUGUUCCCAACAGAAAGAUACUUAGACAGCUUUAAAUGACAAAAAGAUUAAAAUGAUGAAAUAAUUUGUAAAAAUGAAAAAAAAAAAAUGAUUACAAUGAUGACAUAAAUUGUAAAAAAAUUUUUUUUUUUAUUAAAAUGAUUAAACUAUAAAAAUGAAAAAAAAGUGAAUAAAAAGGAUGAAAUGAAUUGCGAUAAAACAUUUUAUUUAUGCAUACAAAUGAAUUAAUAUGGUAUUAUGAGAUGAAUAUAUAAUUAAUAACCUCUGCUUGGUAAAAUAUUAUAUUGUAAUGAGGUUGCUAUUUUUGUGGCUAUUUUUGUGGCUACCUGAUAUCUGUGGAAUAUUGUAAAGGUGUUCUAGUCUUUUAAAUGAAAAAUUAUGUUUUAUGUUUGCCUUUUUAUAAAAAAAAUGUUUUAGUUUGUAUUUUGUAAGAAAAUAAACAUGUUUUAAGUUUA